GGAGUCGUGGCUCAGCGGUAGAGCACUCAUCUAGCACGUGAGACACUGGGUUCGAUCCUCAGCACCA
rnacentral:tRNA from 1 species